CACAAAGCACACGACACGGACACAACUAGUUUCUAGUCAGGAAUUUGCGGAAGAAAGGAGCAAACUCAGGUAUUUUUUCAGCGAGAACAGUCAUCUUCUGCUUUAAGAGUUAACGACACUCGACGACAGAGGCUACGAACUAGUUUCGGAGCGCGAGCAAGGGUUUUCUGAGGAUCCUGCGAACGUCGCCGAGGUUAUAACUGAAGCCCCAAACCAAAGUUCGGAAGUCUUUGACAUCCCUGACCCUAGCCCCGCU